rnacentral:lncRNA from 1 species
CCUGAACAAAAGUUUAUACAAUGGGAGAAGCGUCAGCAUCCAAACCACCAUUAACAACCAUGUUGGCCUCUACCGCAUUCGAACAGAGAUUGCCGCCCACCUUGGCAAAUUUCUCCAGAUCCUAAUCUGUUUGGCUCCUUCAGGUAUUUCUCUUCAUCAAAACCAGGCAGCACGAGCGAUGAAUAAGGCGUGGUAGGGUCCAGCUGCUCCACCUCAGGUGCAACCUUGCUCCAUGUGGGGUGAUCUGCAGGAAUGCCUAGCUCCUUCAAGCAAGCAAACAAGCCUUCUUGAUAAAUGCCUGGGCGAAGCUUGGCUAGCUGCUUAUCGUAAUUGUCCCUGGCUAGGCUGAUCCUGUGGUUGAACACCCACUCAUAGACCCGGGCCCAGCAACCUUCUUAAGCUCGCCAAGGCCCCUCAACACCUUGUUUAGUUGUUUAUGGACUGUAGCCACUUCAACCCAGGCUUCGGUGAUAGUUGUGUAGCUGACAUCUCUUUCUUAGAUAGGUGCAGCAAAGGCCAGCUUUGCCUCCUCGAUAGCAGUUGAAUCCACUUAGGCCUCUUCUCUAGAGAACUGAUUUUCUUUUUGGAUUUCCUGAGCUCAGAGAAUUGUUCCUUCAUUCGCUCCAAAAU